ACACAUCAAUUAUUUAUUAAAUAAAUCUAAAUAAUGCCUUAUUAGGGAGGUUAAAAAAAACCUUUUCCAGGAGUGCUGGAACUUGAGAGAAUUUUAAAGCUGGGAACAAUUUUUACAACUUCAUUUUUUUGAUAACUGCUUGAUUCCAGCUUCACCUUACCGGGGAGCUGAUUGGGUCGAUUUCGUCAUUGCAUCAAAACUCACGUUGACUCCACAAGGGCGCAAACAAAGUACAAUCAUAUGAAAAAAUAAACUUGAUCGAUGCCAUCUAAGAGGACCUCUGAAAGCAAUCAAACAGCCCUGUAGAGACAAGCCAAUGAUAACAGAUGGUAUAUAGCAAGCAAUCAAAGACGACAUUCAAACAGUACAAUU
rnacentral:lncRNA from 1 species